AGGCUAUUUACUCCUAGCUCUAAAGAGGUGUGCUCAGGGCCCUGACACUCCGGGAAACAUGGCAUGAAGAGAAGAAAACCCUAUGUGUACUAUCAGCUCUUGGUCAACACAGAGAUGUUGAACUAAUCUUGUGUAUGGUGUUUGGUGAGCUUCACAUUAGAAGUGGAAGGGCCAUUCCCAGCUCUGAAUCUCAUUAUUUUCAACAUCUGAAAUUGAAAAGGGUGACUGUGUUGGUGAGAUCCUCCCUCCUGAUAGCCUGAUCCCCAAAUCCUGGUGUGGUGACAGGAGGGUCUCUUCCCUCACCUUCAUAUGGGACAAAAGCCAGACCAAACAGAGUGAAGGUGGCAACACACAGGUAUGCAGACCUCUUGACUUUCCUGUUGUGGUGCAUGAGUCAAGCCACGUGCCAGUUUACAAGGCAAUGAAAGAGGAACUGGCUCUUCCCUGCAUUGCUGUGCCUUUCUUGGCAGGGAUGCUCUGCAUCCCUUCCUCCCCCAGACUGUAUUGUUCCUGGGACAGGUCCUUAAACUUGGCCUUGCUGAACUUUUCCCAGGAUGAGAGGAACAUCCCACUUCAAUGGAAUAUUUCUUAAGUAUAGGCUACAAAUGUUGUUUUCAGUCCAGAGUAGAUGUGUUCAUGUGGCUCUCAAAAAAUCUGCAAAAUGCUGGUGGUUCAGAACUUCUUUGUAGGAGAUGAGUUUAUAAAUGUUCUUGAGCACUUUUUCAGCUGCCCUAUAUCCAAAAGAGGUAUCUCCUCCCACCUUCAUAGUACAACAACAUGGAAAUUGAAGUCCUUUGCUGUAGAAUGAAGCAUUGCAGGAAAGGUCCCCCUGAGUAUUCAUGCUGCUCCAGUAGUAGUAAGAAUCACACACGCUAUGUCAUCACACUCUUUAGGCAAUAGCUGAAAGAAGGUUGUUUCAGCAGAGCUUGACUCCAGCACAGACACAGGUGCCUGGUCUGGAGGUAUUUACCAGAGCACAGCCCAAAUUAGCCCAGGCUGAUGGAGCUUUGCUGAGGCCAGCAGAGGCAUUGGAUUUAGACUGCUUGAGGGUCUGCCUCACUAGUUUUACUACACUUUAAACAUUUGCAUUUAUACAUAUGGAUUCUUUUGAUUUUUAACACUUUUUGGCAUUGCUAACCUCCUGCAGAUGAAUAGUUAAUUACCCUCCCCCCUGUGCACUUAAUAGCAUAAGUGGCAUUUGCAGGGUUUUUAAGUGCAUGUGCCAAGCAAAAGAACUUUCAACAGCCACAAGAAAGUGAGUUCUUAUGAUCCCCUGGCUGGAAGUGUAUGCAGGGCCCUUGAGUGGUGGCACUGCAGUCUGCAAAUCCUGGCACCGUUUGGUUUUACAUGCACCGAGGAAUGCCUGCCCUUCCUCUGCAUCCAAUUUCCCUGUCUCCAGCUUUAUUUGGUUAGAUGUUUCUCUUGUGCAUCCAGUAAAACUCGACCACAAGAAUGAGUAGUUGCUGUUUAUAAAAUCAGCACAUUGUUAUGUAAUCCAGAUGACAGGAGAAGUGUGAAAUGCUGUUAAAUACUCGGCUAUAACCACAGCUCAGUCAGAUCUAGACAGUUAAAGUGCACUGGCGUCUAGGUUUCCUGAAGGGUUGACUCUAGAAGUGGGAGGCCCACUUCACUUUCAGGGUGUAGGAAACAGAACAGCUUUCACUGAAGUGUACACACUUAUUCUGACUUUUUCCUGGUAUAAAUGAAGGAGCAAGGCUACCAGUGUGACAGAAAAUAUUAGAUACGUCCAUAAUUUCUCUUAAAAUAUUAAACUUCUGGUAAACUCCAGAAUAUUUCCAUUCACUUAGAGAAUGAUCGCACUGAUAAAAUGGCAGUUUUGUUAACAGAAAAUUUUGACAAAAUUCUUUCAUCUCCUUAUUCUGAUGCGGGAAAAUAACAACUAAAGAGCUCUGGACACUGGAUUGAGAGUCUGGCAUUCUGCUCAGGAGCACCAGUUACUAAAUGUGCAAGUAUCUUCUUGUUCACAAAUGAUUUUUUUUUCAGUGCUAUUGUUCUGGUUUGACAGCUAUUAGCAUGGACUGGAAGAAAUUUUGGUUUUUUCUUUACAAAUGUGAUUCCUUAUGAUGCCUUAUAAGCUAGCUAGUAUAUUUGACUCUGUAUCCAAGUAAGAUAUUUAAGGCUGAAAAUAAACGAAAAUUGCUGAAGGGAGACACCUCCUUGCUCCAAUUCUAUUGUCUGCCCACUGAUCCUGCCAAAAUAUAGGGAGAAGAGGUGAAAUAGCUGGGUGACAACCCUCUGUCAUUCUCCACAGCCUUCUCCAUUCUCCUAAUUUGAGUCCCACACUACCUGCCAUGACCCACUAUUGAU